GUGCAUGCUUCGGUGGCACAUCUAGUAAAAAAUUGGAACGAUACAAAGAAGAUUAGCAUGGCCCCUGCACAAGGAUGACACGCAAAUUCAUGAAACAUGGCAUAUUAAA
ensembl:snRNA U6 U6 spliceosomal RNA